rnacentral:rRNA from 1 species
UGCAAGUCGAACGCCUGUAGCAAUACAGGAGUGGCAGACGGGUGAGUAACACGUGGGAACGUGCCCUUCGGUUCGGAAUAACCCAGGGAAACUUGGGCUAAUACCGGAUACGUCCGCAAGGAGAAAGAUUUAUCGCCGAGGGAUCGGCCCGCGUCCGAUUAGCUAGUUGGUGAGGUAAUGGCUCACCAAGGCGACGAUCGGUAGCUGGUCUGAGAGGAUGAUCAGCCACACUGGGACUGAGACACGGCCCAGACUCCUACGGGAGGCAGCAGUGGGGAAUAUUGGACAAUGGGCGCAAGCCUGAUCCAGCCAUGCCGCGUGAGUGAUGAAGGCCCUAGGGUUGUAAAGCUCUUUCGGCGGGGAAGAUAAUGACGGUACCCGCAGAAGAAGCCCCGGCUAACUUCGUGCCAGCAGCCGCGGUAAUACGAAGGGGGCUAGCGCUGCUCGGAAUCACUGGGCGUAAAGCGCUCGUAGGCGGAUUGUUAAGUCGGGGGUGAAAUCCUGGAGCUCAACUCCAGAACUGCCUUCGAUACUGGCAAUCUUGAGUCCGGGAGAGGUGAGUGGAACUCCGAGUGUAGAGGUGAAAUUCGUAGAUAUUCGGAAGAACACCAGUGGCGAAGGCGGCUCACU